rnacentral:rRNA from 1 species
ACUUACCAGCACAUUGGAUUGAAUGCCCAUGAGCUCAUCUGAUCUUGGAAACUAAACAGUCUUGGACCUGGUUAAUAUGUGGAAGAGACAUUGCCUGCAAAUCCUGGGUACUGUAAAUA